rnacentral:lncRNA from 10 species
GAACACAAAAUGGCGACACGUGGUUAGCAUUCGUCGCCAACGAGAAAUUGGGGUCGGCCCGAAAGCUCUAGAAUGCACCCCUCUUCCUCCCCGGGGCCUUCCACCUCCGCGAGUUUUAUGACUUAAAAAAGCCCACAGGCUGGUCUGAAGGUCGGAGGCCUAAUUUUAACGCGUUUUCCUCCCUUUAAUUUGAAACGGGAACGCGAAUGACUGUAAAAUGUGGGCACAAUAUUUAAUCUCUCGCCUUUUUAAAGCUUAAUAGUGGAUAAUAGGGGGGCAGUAUCAAGGGAUAAUUUGGGUCCCCACAGUACCAAAGCAUUUAGAAACCUCUGUUUAAUUUAAGGAAUGAGAUAAGUUACUGCUUUUCUAGACUUCCUAGCAUGGGCUGUUGUGCUGGAGAGAACGAGAGCUACGAAGAGACUACAGUGCCUCUGACUUUUUCAUAGGACAGUUGGCCGAGGAAGACAAACAUAAAGAUGAAGUGCUUAAUUCAAGGUCACACAAUGUCGGGGAUGGACCUCCAGAUUUCCUUACUGGAAAACAAGCUCAGGGCUCCCACUGAUUGUACAUUAUGAGACGGAGUCUUGCUAUGUUGCCCAGGCUGGUCUUGAACUCCUCACCUCAAGCGAUCCUCCCGUCUUGGCCUCCCAAGUGUCAGGAUUACGGGCAUGUGCUAUCACACCCAACCUGAUACAUUGCCUUUAUAAAUUUUUUUUUCUUUAUUCUAAAAACCAGAAAAAACAAAACUGGAUACAUGUGCAGAACAUGCAGCAGGGAAUUUCUUCCACUUGCAGACCAAGUGUGUUGGGGACUUGAGAUGCGUACAUGAGUGUGAUGUUUCCUGCUGAAAGCACAGGUGAGACGUGGUCUUGUAACACAGUGGUUA